rnacentral:rRNA from 1 species
CCUACGGGAGGCAGCAGUGGGGAAUAUUGCGCAAUGGGCGAAAGCCUGACGCAGCGACGCCGCGUGAGGGAUGAAGGUCUUCGGAUCGUAAACCUCUGUCAGCAGGGAAGAACGGUCACUGUGCUAAUCAGCAGUGAAUUGACGGUACCUGCAAAGGAAGCACCGGCUAACUCCGUGCCAGCAGCCGCGGUAAUACGGGGGGUGCGAGCGUUAAUCGGAAUUACUGGGCGUAAAGCGCUCGUAGGCGGUAUGUCAAGUCAAGGGUGAAAUCCCCGCGCUCAACGUGGGAACUGCCUUUGAAACUGGCAAACUGGAGUGUGGGAGAGGAGAGUGGAAUUCCAGGUGUAGGAGUGAAAUCCGUAGAUAUCGGGAGGAACAUCAGUGGCGAAGGCGACUAUCUGGAACAUAACUGACGCUGAGGAGCGAAAGCGUGGGUAGCAAACAGGAUUAGAUACCCUUGUAGUC